UACGUAGGGAGCAAGCGUUGUCCGGAAUCAUUGGGCGUAAAGCGCGCGUAGGUGGCUUCGUAAGUCCGCUGUGAAAGUCAAAGGCUCAACCUUUGAAAAGCCGGUGGAUACUGUGAAGCUAGAGUACGGAAGAGGCGAGUGGAAUUCCUGGUGUAGCGGUGGAAUGCGCAGAUAUCAGGAGGAACACCAAUAGCGAAGGCAGCUCGCUGGGACGUUACUGACACUGAGGCGCGAAAGCGUGGGGAGCGAACAGGA
rnacentral:rRNA from 1 species